GAACUUAAGCAUAUCAAUAAGCGGAGGAAAAGAAACCAACAGGGAUUGCCCUAGUAACGGCGAGUGAAGCGGCAACAGCUCAAAUUUGAAAUCUGGCCCUCGGGUCCGAGUUGUAAUUUGUAGAGGAUGCUUUUGGUGCGGUGCCUUCCGAGUUCCCUGGAACGGGACGCCAUAGAGGGUGAGAGCCCCGUCUGGUUGGACACCAAUCCUCUGUAAAGCUCCUUCGACGAGUCGAGUAGUUUGGGAAUGCUGCUCUAAAUGGGAGGUAUAUGUCUUCUAAAGCUAAAUAUUGGCCAGAGACCGAUAGCGCACAAGUAGAGUGAUCGAAAGAUGAAAAGCACUUUGAAAAGAGAGUUAAACAGUACGUGAAAUUGUUGAAAGGGAAGCGCUUAUGACCAGACUUGGGCUUGGUAGAUCAACCUGGGUUCUCCCUGGUGCACUCUUCCUCGUCCAGGCCAGCAUCAGUUCGCUGCGGGGGAUAAAGGCUUCGGGAAUGUGGCUCCCUCGGGAGUGUUAUAGCCCGUUGCGUAAUACCCUGCGGUGGACUGAGGUUCGCGUUCUGCAAGGAUGCUGGCGUAAUGGUCAUCAGCGACCCGUCUUGAAACACGGACCAAGGAGUCGUCUUCGUAUGCGAGUGUUCGGGUGUUAAACCCCUACGCGUAAUGAAAGUGAACGCAGGUGAGAGCUUCGGCGCAUCAUCGACCGAUCCUGAUGUUCUCGGAUGGAUUUGAGUAAGAGCAUACGGGGCCGGACCCGAAA
rnacentral:rRNA from 1 species